GAGAGAGAGAGAGAGAGAGAGAGAGAGACAAGUCCUUAAACGUGACCACACAUACAAACAUGCUGGCUGGAAGCCGGCAGCUGGAGGGUGGAGAGGUCGGAGUCUCCAAAGUCUCGGCCUGAUUAAAACUCCCAGCACAGCCACUCACUCCCUCUGGAUUGAUUAACCUGACCUGUAUCGGAUCAACCCCUCGGGACAAGAGCACAGCCCACUUUCCUGAAGUGGAUGAGCACGGCGUGGGAUGGGAGAGAGUCAGAACGGUGUAUGGGGGAAAGUAGGACCGUGCAGAAAGCGGAGAGAGACCAGACCAGACUUGCAGGUCCCAGGUGAGCAACGUGACCAUUGGGUUGGCAAAUGGCCUGUUAUUGUUGGUCAUGCUACGAGAGAGAGUUUGGUGUUUGGAACCCACAGCUUUCUGCCCUGACAGUGCCCCUCUCCUCCACCACAUUAGCUGGGGCUGUUCCCAGCGACUGCUUUGAUGGAGCAGCUUGAGUCCUGCUUUUGGCUCUGCGGGCCUGCUUUGAGUGCCUCUGACUCACAGCAGUGUGGUUCUGGAGCGGCCCUUCGCUCUGGCGGUGAGGCCGGCUGGAGGAGCCGGGGAGAGGGGCGCUGUCACAGACCUCUCACCCCACUGCACGCUGGGCAUCGGGGCUCAGCGCGCAUCGGCCCACUAUGACUUGCCUGUCAAUGUGAAAUAGCAUUUGCAUCUAUUUACCUACUUUCUCAGAAAAAUGGGAUAGUCAAAUAUUUACAUUUAAUAAUUUAGCAGACGCUUUUAUCCAAAGCGACUUGCAAAUGAGGCAAACAAUAGAAGCACUCACAUCAGUGAAAGGGCAAUAAUGCGCAGAUAUAUAGAAAAGUGUGACCUAAUAUUUACCUUAAUAUACAAUUUUAAUAAUCUAUAUAAUAACAUCUUAUUUUAUUACCAACUUAUUUGUUGUUGUGUAUAGUGAUUUGUAUAUUUCAUGUCACUACUUGGUUUGGUUGUAUAAUGCUUUUGAAAUAUUGUAACUAGUGAACACUCAUGCCGAUAAAAUACAUUUCAACUCAAAUUAAAGAUUGGAAAAAUGUGCAUCAUUGCAUAUGCAGACCAGGAACGUGCUAUUAUUAUUAUUAUAUUAAUAAAGUAAACAUGGUCAACUUCUGUUGGCUUCCAACAACCAAGGACUGCGAAUAACUGGAUACAAAAUGUGUUAAUUACACAAAUGAAUCAGUGAAGGAGGAGGAGGGGGAAGAAAGAAGUGAC